rnacentral:rRNA from 1 species
GUCGAACGGAAAGGCCCUGCUUGCAGGGUACUCGAGUGGCGAACGGGUGAGUAACACGUGGGUGAUCUGCCCUGCACUUCGGGAUAAGCCUGGGAAACUGGGUCUAAUACCGGAUAGGAGCCAUUUUUAGUGUGAUGGUUGGAAAGUUUUUUCGGUGUAGGAUGAGCUCGCGGCCUAUCAGCUUGUUGGUGGGGUAAUGGCCUACCAAGGCGGCGACGGGUAGCCGGCCUGAGAGGGUGGACGGCCACAUUGGGACUGAGAUACGGCCCAGACUCCUACGGGAGGCAGCAGUGGGGAAUAUUGCACAAUGGGCGCAAGCCUGAUGCAGCGACGCCGCGUGGGGGAUGACGGCCUUCGGGUUGUAAACUCCUUUCGCUAGGGACGAAGCUUUUUGUGACGGUACCUAGAUAAGAAGCACCGGCUAACUACGUGCCAGCAGCCGCGGUAAUACGUAGGGUGCGAGCGUUGUCCGGAAUUACUGGGCGUAAAGGGCUCGUAGGUGGUUUGUCGCGUCGUCUGUGAAAUUCCGGGGCUUAACUCCGGGCGUGCAGGCGAUACGGGCAUAACUUGAGUACUGUAGGGGUAACUGGAAUUCCUGGUGUAGCGGUGAAAUGCGCAGAUAUCAGGAGGAACACCGAUGGCGAAGGCAGGUUACUGGGCAGUUACUGACGCUGAGGAGCGAAAGCAUGGGUAGCG